rnacentral:rRNA from 1 species
UACGGGGGGGCAAGCGUUGUCGGAAUUACUGGGCGUAAAGGGUCGUAGGUGGCCAACUAAGCCAGACGUGAAAUCCCCUCAGGCUAACUGGGGAACUGCGUCUGGGACUGGAUGGCUUGAGUGCAGGAGAGGAACGCGGAAUUCCAGGUGUAGCGGUGAAAUGCGUAGAUAUCUGGAGGAACACCGGUGGCGAAGGCGGCGUUCUGGACUGCAACUGACACUGGAGGAACGAAAGCCAGGGGAGCAAACGGG